AGAUAUUCUAAUACAGAGAAGGGUAAUUUUGGUCCUUGCUCUCAUUUCUUGGAGUCUUCAGACUAAUAUCAAGAGCUCUCUCUAAAUUAGCAGUUCAGACUGCAUCCCCAUGGUCACAUGACAAGGAAGACUGUCUACCCUCCAUGAUACUUGAGCAAAGUCGGAGAGACAAUAGUCAAAAUUGCUAUGGAUAAAAUCAUUUGGAGGCAUCAAUUGUCUCAUCCUGAACAAUCUCAGCUGGUGCCUUGGAUCUGCAUAAAUCUCCUCAUCCUGGAUGAUCUCAGCCGGAACCUUGGAUAACAUAAAUUCCAAUUCAGAUUUAUAUAAACAAAAGUAAACAACUUUCAGCUUUUUACAAUUACAGAUUAGGAAAAAAGCAGCCAGCUAUUUUCCUUUUUGAGGAAUACACUGUCUAUGUAACAAACCUCAGACUCACUUCUUUCGAGUAGCAAUAUAAACACAAAACCUGUGGCAAAUGUCAUAUUUUUUUAAAUAAACUGAUAAAAAAGGAUUUAUACCUGAGAUUUCAUUUGAAAUAACCAAUAUCAAUUCAAACACUUUAAAAACAAUUAACAAAAAGUAACCUGUUCUUUUCUAAUUCCAGGAUGCAAAUAUCUUUUCUAAUUUUGGAUACUCUGUGC